rnacentral:rRNA from 1 species
UACGUAGGGGGCAAGCGUUGUCCGGAUUUAUUGGGCGUAAAGAGCGUGUAGGCGGCUGGGUAGGUCCGUUGUGAAAACUCGAGCUCAACCUCGAGACGCCGAUGGAACCCCCCAGCUAGAGUCCGGAAGAGGAGAGUGGAAUUCCUGGUGUAGCGGUGAAAUGCGCAGAUAUCAGGAAGAACACCCGUGGCGAAGGCGGCUCUCUGGGACGGUACUGACGCUGAGGAGCGAAAGCGUGGGGAGCGAACAGG